rnacentral:rRNA from 1 species
ACUGUAGGCUGCAACUCGCCUACACGAAGUUGGAAUUGCUAGUAAUCGUGGAUCAGCAUGCCACGGUGAAUACGUUCCCGGGUCUUGUACACACCGCCCGUCACACCAUGGGAGCUGGUAACACCCGAAGUCAGUAGUCUAACCGCAAGGAGGACGCUGCCGAAGGUGGGAUUAGCGACUGGGGUGAAGUCGUAACAAGGUAUC